GACGAACGCUGGCGGCGUGCUUAACACAUGCAAGUCGAGCGAUAAAGUUUUUUCGGAAAUGGAUUAGCGGCGAACGGGUGAGGAACACGUGAAGAAUCUGCCCUCCACUUUGGGAUAACACAGGGAAACCUGUGCUAAUACCGAAUAUUGAAACAUAAGUGGCAUCACUGAGUUUUGAAAGAAUUUCGGUGGAGGAUGACUUCGCGGCCUAUCGGCUAGUUGGUGAGGUAAUGGCUCACCAAGGCAACGACGGGUAGCCGGCCUGAGAGGGCGACCGGCCACACUGGGACUGAGACACGGCCCAGACUCCUACGGGAGGCAGCAGUGGGGAAUAUUGGGCAAUGGAGGAAACUCCGACCCAGCGACGCCGCGUGCGGGAUGAAGGCCUUCGGGUUGUAAACCGCUUUCAGUAGGGAAGAAGCGAAAGUGACGGUACCUACAAAAGAAGCACCGGCUAACUAUGUGCCAGCCGCCGCGGUAA
rnacentral:rRNA from 1 species